rnacentral:lncRNA from 10 species
GGGCAGGACAUGCAUGGCUAAGGAAUGUAGUAAUAAGGUGAACAUGGACAGAAGAGGGACUGAAGGAAAGAGAAGAAAAAGGAGAAACUAAGGACAAGGGCUUCAGAUGAAGAGCUCCUAAACACUCCUAAAGACUACCAGUUACACAGGUCAUACAAAUUGGUCCUAUUAACAACCGAAGAAAGGAGAACAAACUUAGGUUAUGGACUUGAAAGGAUAAAGCCAAGCAAAAGAUUGAAGUGCUGCCUGUGUGGACAGCACCUCACUGCUCCUUCCUCACCAAGACAAUACUGAGGGGAAGAAAGCUAUAGGAAGAUAAGGACUGUGCCUGUCCUGUUGCCUGCUUAAUCUCCAGCGCCUACCACCAUUCCCACCGUACAGUAGGAAACAGAUGCGAAUUCCCACUUUGUUUUACUAUAUCCAACUUGGGAACGCUAAUAUAUAAAGGU